AUGUCAUCUCGUGUGCUCAAGAAACUCAUCGCCAUGCUUGAGGCUGAAGAAGCCGAAGCAUCGAAAUCCGAAAACCAUGGUACUUCUAACGCAUUUAACAACCAUGGUGACGGGGAUCAAAAUUUCUCCAAUGCUAAAAUCAACAGCGGUUCAAAUUCUGGGGACCGAAAGAAAAAAAUCACCACCAACAAUCAUGGUGAGCGCACCGUAAAUAACAGUGGUACUUUCCAUGGUAAUGGCAAUGGAGGGUAUACUGAGGGUAACUUUGACGCAUCCACAAGGAACUAUAAAAUUUAG